rnacentral:lncRNA from 1 species
GGUGGGAGAAUAUUAUAAUUAUGAGUAGGUAUGAAGGUAGAAUGAUGAAAUGACAAUUAAUUUGUUGGACAUUUUUGUAAGAACUUGUAUAAAGAAAAUAAAUUUAUUUUAUUCAUAAACUAGAAGCCAUAGUAAUAAAAUAAAAUUAUUAAAAUAGAUCUAUUAAGAAGAUGUCUAUUUUACAUCUUUUGAAAAAGGAAAAAUAUUUUGGAUUUAGGGCAU